rnacentral:rRNA from 1 species
AGAGAGAGACAUGCGCGCAUAUCAAUAAGCGGAGGAAAAGAAACUAACAAGGAUUCCCUUAGUAACGGCGAGUGAAGCGGGAAGAGCUCAAAUUUGAAAUCUUCAAGGUUUUACCUUGACGAAUUGUAGUUUAAAGAAGUGUUUUCUGCUGAAGUUUUGGUAAAAGUUCUUUGGAAUAGGACAUCAUAGAGGGUGAGAAUCCCGUAUUUGACCAUUAUUUUCAGCUUUGUGAUACACUUUCAAAGAGUCGGAUUGUUUGGGAAUGCAGUCCAAAAUGGGUGGUAAAUUUCAUCUAAAGCUAAAUAUUGGCGAGAGACCGAUAGCGAACAAGUACCGUGAGGGAAAGAUGAAAAGAACUUUGAAAAGAGAGUUAAACAGUACGUGAAAUUGUCAAAAGGGAAGCGUUUGACACCAGUGUUGUUUUCUCGAAAAUCAAUUAAAAAUGGCUCGAUUUUGUAUUGUUGAGACCUUAAAAGCUCACUGUACAUUUUUCGUGUCUUUUUUAAUGCACUUUUCGUUUAACAAGUCAACAUCAGUUUCUUUUGUUGUAAAAGGGUCAUUGGAAGGUGGCUUUCUUUUCGGAGAAAGUGUUUAUAGCCUUUGGCCUCUGCAAUCGAGAGGACUGAGGUCUGCAGCGUAGACUCUUCGGGGUUAGAUACAUUUGUGCUAAGUUAGUAGCUUUUUAUAGACAACUUGUUGACUAUAAUUAGUCUUGUAGCUUACUCGCUUAUGCUAUUUUACCUACGCUUAGGAUGUUGAAGUCAUCGUAUCGCGC